AUUGGACGCUGGCGGCAGGCUUAACACAUGCAAGUCGAGCGGGGUGAUGGUGCUUGCACUAUCACUUAGCGGCGGACGGGUGAGUAAUGCUUAGGAAUCUGCCUCUUAGUGGGGGACAACAUCUCGAAAGGGAUGCUAAUACCGCAUGCGUCCUACGGGAGAAAGCAGGGGAUCACUUGUGACCUUGCGCUAAUAGAUGAGCCUAAGCCGGAGUAGCUAGUUGGUGGGGUAAAGGCCUACCAAGGCGAAGAUCUGUAGCGGGUCCGAGAGGAUGAUCCGGCACACUGGGACUGAGGCACGGCCCCGACGCCUAGGGGAGGAAGCAGGGGGGAGUAUUGGACAAGGGGAGGAACCCUGAUCCAGCCAUGCCGCGUGUGUGAAGAAGGCCUUAUGGUUGUAAAGCACUUUAAGCGAGGAGGAGGCUCUUUUGGUUAAUACCCAAGAUGAGUGGACGUUACUCGCAGAAUAAGCACCGGCUAACUCUGUGCCAGCCGCCGCAGUAA
rnacentral:rRNA from 1 species